rnacentral:rRNA from 1 species
AUUGCCCUAGUAACGGGCGAGUGAAGCGGCAACAGCUCAAAUUUGAAAUCUGGCCCCCUAGGGGGUCCGAGUUGUAAUUUGCAGAGGGUGCUUUGGCGUUGGCAGCGGUCUAAGUUCCUUGGAACAGGACGUCACAGAGGGUGAGAAUCCCGUACGUGGUCGCCAGCCUCCGCCGUGUAAAGCCCCUUCGACGAGUCGAGUUGUUUGGGAAUGCAGCUCUAAAUGGGAGGUAAAUUUCUUCUAAAGCUAAAUACUGGCCAGAGACCGAUAGCGCACAAGUAGAGUGAUCGAAAGAUGAAAAGCACUUUGGAAAGAGAGUCAAAAAGCACGUGAAAUUGUUGAAAGGGAAGCGCUUGCAGCCAGACUUGCCUGUAGUUGCUCAGCCGGGCUCCGGCCCGGUGCACUCUUCUGCGGGCAGGCCAGCAUCAGUUCGGGCGGCCGGAUAAAGACCUCUGUCACGUACCUCCCUCCGGGGAGGACUUAUAGGGGAGGUGAAAUGCGGCCAGUCCGGACUGAGGUCCGCGCAUCUGCUAGGAUGCUGGCGUAAUGGCUGUAAGCGGCCCGUCUUGAAACACGGACCAAGGAGUCUAACAUCUAUGCGAGUGUUUGGGUGUCAAGCCCGAGCGCGUAAUGAAAGUGAACGGAGGUGGGAACGCCUCGGGGUGCACCAUCGACCGAUCCUGAUGUCUUCGGAUGGAUUUGAGUAAGAGCAUAGCUGUUGCGACCCGAAAGAUGGUGAACUAUGCUUGAAUACGGUGAAGCCAGAGGAAACUCUGGUGGAGGCUCGCAGCGGUUCUGACGUGCAAAUCGAUCGUCAAAUUUGGGGCAUAGGGGCGAAAGACUAAUCGCACCAUCUGGUAGCUGGUUCCUGACGAAGUUUCCCUCACGAUAGCACUAACGUUUUCAGUUCUAUGAAGUAAAGCAAAUGAUUAAAAGCCUGGGGGUUGAAACAACCUUCACCUAUUCUCAAACUCUAAUAUUCAAAAAAUCCUUGUACUUGAUUGAACCGUGACAUUGAAUGUACCUUACUAAUGGGCCAUUUUUGGUAAGCGGAAUUGGGGAUGCGGAUGAAUCUAAACAAAGGUUAAUGCGCCUGA